rnacentral:rRNA from 1 species
AUAAGCUUGCUCUUUUGCUGACGAGUGGCGCACGGGUGCGUAACGCGUAUACAAUCUGCCUUCAAGCGGGGGAUAGCCCAUGGAAACGUGGAUUAAUACCCCAUGGUAUUAUGAUUUCACCUGGAAUUAUAAUUAAACAUUUAUGGCUUGAAGAUGAGUAUGCGUCCUAUUAGCUAGAUGGAGUGGUAACGGCACCCCAUGGCGACGAUAGGUAGGGGUCCUGAGAGGGAGAUCCCCCACACUGGUACUGAGACACGGACCAGACUCCUACGGGAGGCAGCAGUGAGGAAUAUUGGACAAUGGAGGCAACUCUGAUCCAGCCAUGCCGCGUGCAGGAAGACUGCCCUAUGGGUUGUAAACUGCUUUUAUACAGGAAGAAACCUUCUCACGUGUGGGGAGCUGACGGUACUGUAUGAAUAAGGAUCGGCUAACUCCGUGCCAGCAGCCGCGGUAAUACGGAGGAUCCAAGCGUUAUCCGGAAUCAUUGGGUUUAAAGGGUCCGUAGGCGGGUUUAUAAGUCAGUGGUGAAAGUCUGUCGCUUAACGAUAGAAUUGCCAUUGAUACUGUAGAUCUUGAAUUAUUAUGAAGUGGUUGGAAUGAGANGUGUAGCCGGUGAAAUGCAUAGAUAUUACUCAGAACACCUAUUGCGAAGGCAGAUCACUAAUAAUAUAUUGACGCUGAUGGACGAAAGCGUAGGUAGCGAACAGGAUUAGAUACCCUGGUAGUCUACGCCGUAAACGAUGGUCACUAGCUGUCCGGCCUAAUUGAGGGCUGGGUGGCCAAGCGAAAGUGAUAAGUGACC